GGUUAAGCGACUAAGCGUACACGGUGGAUGCCCUGGCAGUCAGAGGCGAUGAAGGACGUGCUAAUCUGCGAAAAGCGCCGGCGAGGUGAUAUGAACCUUUGACCCGGCGAUGUCCGAAUGGGGAAACCCAGUGCAAUCCGUUGCACUAUCGUUAACUGAAUACAUAGGUUAACGAGGCGAACCGGGGGAACUGAAACAUCUAAGUACCCCGAGGAAAAGAAAUCAACCGAGAUUCCCCCAGUAGCGGCGAGCGAACGGGGAGCAGCCCGGAGUCUGAAUCAGCUUGUGUGUUAGUGGAACGGUCUGGAAAGUCCGACGGUACAGGGUGAUAGUCCCGUACACGAAAGCACACAUGCUGUGAACUCGAAGAGUAGGGCGGGACACGUGGUAUCCUGUCUGAAUAUGGGGGGACCAUCCUCCAAGGCUAAAUACUCCUGACUGACCGAUAGUGAACCAGUACCGUGAGGGAAAGGCGAAAAGAACCCCGGCGAGGGGAGUGAAAAAGAACCUGAAACCGUGUACGUACAAGCAGUGGGAGCCUCUUUAUGGGGUGACUGCGUACCUUUUGUAUAAUGGGUCAGCGACUUAUAUUCUGUAGCAAGGUUAACCGUAUAGGGGAGCCGAAGGGAAACCGAGUCUUAACUGGGCGUUAAGUUGCAGGGUAUAGACCCGAAACCCGGUGAUCUAGCCAUGGGCAGGUUGAAGGUUGGGUAACACUAACUGGAGGACCGAACCGACUAAUGUUGAAAAAUUAGCGGAUGACCUGUGGCUGGGGGUGAAAGGCCAAUCAAACCGGGAGAUAGCUGGUUCUCCCCGAAAGCUAUUUAGGUAGCGCCUCGUGAACUCAUCUUCGGGGGUAGAGCACUGUUUCGGCUAGGGGGCCAUCCCGGCUUACCAACCCGAUGCAAACUACGAAUACCGAAGAAUGUUAUCACGGGAGACACACGGCGGGUGCUAACGUCCGUCGUGAAGAGGGAAACAACCCAGACCGCCAGCUAAGGUCCCAAAGUCAUGGUUAAGUGGGAAACGAUGUGGGAAGGCACAGACAGCCAGGAUGUUGGCUUAGAAGCAGCCAUCAUUUAAAGAAAGCGUAAUAGCUCACUGGUCGAGUCGGCCUGCGCGGAAGAUGUAACGGGGCUAAACCAUGCACCGAAGCUGCGGCAGCGACACUAUGUGUUGUUGGGUAGGGGAGCGUUCUGUAAGCCGUUGAAGGUGUCCUGUGAGGGGUGCUGGAGGUAUCAGAAGUGCGAAUGCUGACAUAAGUAACGAUAAAGCGGGUGAAAAGCCCGCUCGCCGGAAGACCAAGGGUUCCUGUCCAACGUUAAUCGGGGCAGGGUGAGUCGACCCCUAAGGCGAGGCCGAAAGGCGUAGUCGAUGGGAAACAGGUUAAUAUUCCUGUACUUGGUGUUACUGCGAAGGGGGGACGGAGAAGGCUAUGUCAGCCGGGCGACGGUUGUCCCGGUUUAAGCAUGUAGGCGGAGGUUCCAGGUAAAUCCGGUACCUUAUUAACGCUGAGGUGUGAUGACGAGGCACUACGGUGCUGAAGUGAUAAAUGCCCUGCUUCCAGGAAAAGCCUCUAAGCAUCAGGUAACACGAAAUCGUACCCCAAACCGACACAGGUGGUCAGGUAGAGAAUACCAAGGCGCUUGAGAGAACUCGGGUGAAGGAACUAGGCAAAAUGGUGCCGUAACUUCGGGAGAAGGCACGCUGAUAUGUAGGUGAAGUCCCUGCGGACGGAGCUGAAAUCAGUCGAAGAUACCAGCUGGCUGCAACUGUUUAUUAAAAACACAGCACUGUGCAAACACGAAAGUGGACGUAUACGGUGUGACGCCUGCCCGGUGCCGGAAGGUUAAUUGAUGGGGUUAGCGGCAACGCGAAGCUCUUGAUCGAAGCCCCGGUAAACGGCGGCCGUAACUAUAACGGUCCUAAGGUAGCGAAAUUCCUUGUCGGGUAAGUUCCGACCUGCACGAAUGGCGUAAUGAUGGCCAGGCUGUCUCCACCCGAGACUCAGUGAAAUUGAACUCGCUGUGAAGAUGCAGUGUACCCGCGGCAAGACGGAAAGACCCCGUGAACCUUUACUAUAGCUUGACACUGAACACUGGUCCUUGAUGUGUAGGAUAGGUGGGAGGCUUUGAAGCGUGGACGCCAGUCUGCGUGGAGCCAACCUUGAAAUACCACCCUUUAAUGGCUGGUGUUCUAACGUAGACCCGUAAUCCGGGUUGCGGACAGUGUCUGGUGGGUAGUUUGACUGGGGCGGUCUCCUCCCAAAGAGUAACGGAGGAGCACGAAGGUUGGCUAAUCCUGGUCGGACAUCAGGAGGUUAGUGCAAUGGCAUAAGCCAGCUUGACUGCGAGCGUGACGGCGCGAGCAGGUGCGAAAGCAGGUCAUAGUGAUCCGGUGGUUCUGAAUGGAAGGGCCAUCGCUCAACGGAUAAAAGGUACUCCGGGGAUAACAGGCUGAUACCGCCCAAGAGUUCAUAUCGACGGCGGUGUUUGGCACCUCGAUGUCGGCUCAUCACAUCCUGGGGCUGAAGUAGGUCCCAAGGGUAUGGCUGUUCGCCAUUUAAAGUGGUACGCGAGCUGGGUUUAGAACGUCGUGAGACAGUUCGGUCCCUAUCUGCCGUGGGCGCUGGAGAAUUGAGGGGGGCUGCUCCUAGUACGAGAGGACCGGAGUGGACGCAUCACUGGUGUUCGGGUUGUCAUGCCAAUGGCACUGCCCGGUAGCUAAAUGCGGAAGAGAUAAGUGCUGAAAGCAUCUAAGCACGAAACUUGCCCCGAGAUGAGUUCUCCCUGAGACUUUAAGUCUCCUGAAGGAACGUUGAAGACGACGACGUUGAUAGGUCGGGUGUGUAAGCGCAGCGAUGCGUUGAGCUAACCGAUACUAAUGAACCGUGAGGCUUAACCUU
rnacentral:rRNA from 1 species